GAGGGUAUAGCUCAGUGGUAGAGUGCACGCUUGACACGCACGAGGACCUGGGUUCAAUCCCCAGUACCUCCA